rnacentral:rRNA from 1 species
UACGAAGGGGGCUAGCGUUGCUCGGAAUCACUGGGCGUAAAGGGUGCGUAGGCGGGUCUUUAAGUCAGGGGUGAAAUCCUGGAGCUCAACUCCAGAACUGCCUUUGAUACUGAAGAUCUUGAGUUCGGGAGAGGUGAGUGGAACUGCGAGUGUAGAGGUGAAAUUCGUAGAUAUUCGCAAGAACACCAGUGGCGAAGGCGGCUCACUGGCCCGAUACUGACGCUGAGGCGCGAAAGCGUGGGGAGCGAUCCGG